rnacentral:rRNA from 1 species
CAAUAGCGUAUAUUAAAGUUGUUGCAGUUAAAAAGCUCGUAGUUGGAUUUCUGGUGGGAGCGAUCGGUCUGGCGCUUAGCGCGAGUACUUGCAUCGUCUCCGGCCAUCCUUGGGGAGAGUCUGUCUGGCAUUAGGUUGUCGGGCAGAGGAUCCUCAUCGUUUACUGUGAAAAAAUUAGAGUGUUCAAAGCAGGCUUAUGCCGUUGAAUAUAUUAGCAUGGAAUAAUAAGAUAGGACUUUGGUACUAUUUUGUUGGUUUGCGCACCAAAGUAAUGAUUAAUAGGGACAGUUGGGGGUAUUCGUAUUCCGUUGUCAGAGGUGAAACUCUUGGAUUUACGGAAGACGAACUACUGCGAAAGCAUUUACCAAGGAUGUUUUCAUUAA